rnacentral:rRNA from 1 species
GACGAACGCUGGCGGCGUGCUUAACACAUGCAAGUCGAGCGGUAAGGCCCUUUCGGGGGUACACGAGCGGCGAACGGGUGAGUAACACGUGGGUGACCUGCCCUCAGCUCUGGGAUAAGCCUGGGAAACCGGGUCUAAUACCGGAUAUGACUCCAUGACGCAUGUUGUGGGGUGGGAAGCCUUGUGCGGCUGAGGAUGGGCCCGCGGCCUAUCAGCUUGUUGGUGGGGUGANGGCCUACCAAGGCGACGACGGGUAGCCGGCCUGAGAGGGCGACCGGCCACACUGGGACUGAGACACGGCCCAGACUCCUACGGGAGGCAGCAGUGGGGAAUCUUGCGCAAUGGGCGAAAGCCUGACGCAGCGACGCCGCGUGAGGGAUGACGGCC